UUGUAACACCUAUUCCCGUAUGAUCACUGAAGUUAAGCAGUGUUGAGCCUAAUCAGAUGGGUGACCACUUGGGAAUACCAGGUGUCAUA